rnacentral:sRNA from 1 species
UUUUCUUUUCUUGGUAUUUUGGAUUUGUUUUCGUUGUGUUUGUUGUUCUCAGGAAUAGAGGAAUAACUUGAAGGAAGAGUGAAAAUUCAAAACUCUUACUCUACAGACGGCCUAGAGAUCAAUUACACAGUAUAGUGGAUUGCAAAUUUUUUUAAAACUUUCAAUUGCACUUGGAGACCUUGCACUCGAGUAUAUUGGUCGAAUAUGAGUGAUGUUUAAAACCCAUAAAUUUUUAAAUCAUCAUUUUACUCGACCAACAGAAGCUACAAAGUCUUAUAGGGAGUUUAUCAAGUUUACAAAGGAUUGCGGGAUUUCCUGAGGUUUUUCCUGUAAACAGAGAGCACAGAAGAAAGACAAGAAGCCAUAGUGGGACCCACCACUGACGCCCAUGUCCUCCAUGCAGCAGACCAAGAGACAUGGAAUCUCUUCACACCCAUCUCUCCACUCGAUCACUACGCAACCUUAUCCUCACCUUCACUACUCGACUUCAUCUCUCAACUCGACCACUCCAGCUUCUCUCCCCAUAAAAACACUCGACUUCAAUCGAUAUCAUCAUCCUCACAACCUUCACUCGAUCACGUCACCAUCUCUCUUCAUAUACUCGACCGCUGAACAAAUAUCACCUUCAAGCUCAUCAUCUCUCUAUCGCUUCCAACGCCACUGCUCUCUUCCCCACGAAAGCUCAUCACAUCGCCUCUUCAACCCACUCGACGUCGCGCAUUCACUCGAUCUCUCAUCACCAUCUUCAUCACAUCGCCACUUCUCACCUUAUCUCGCCACCAACAACACUCGACUGCAGCUCCCUCAUAGCCUCAUCGUUUUCCACCGCUUUGUUCCAGUCACUCGACCAACUGCCACCGUUUUCUCUUCUCACCGAAACAAUCACUCGACUUCUCCACUGCUCCUCACCGCUCAAGCUCCAUUAGUUCACUCGACCAUCAUCUCAUUCUCAAAUCAACUCGCUCCCGAAUCAAAAGAGAAGAAGAAGGAAGACGCCACCAUCAACAACCGAUUCACUCGACCGCCGUUUCACUCUAUCUCACAACCACGAAACUAGCUUCACUCGACCUCACAAGAUCACUCGACCUCGUCUCACUCUUCACUAGCAACACUCGAUCGCGUAUCACCAAUGAAUCCCACAAGAAGUCUCGCCUCUCAACCUCACUCGAUCGCGGAGAACACUCCAUUCACUCACUCAAGGAAUCACUCGAUCAACAAUUCACCAAACCAAAAAAAAAAAACGGUUUACUUGACCAGUUUACUUGACCGGUAUACUCGAUUGGUUUGUGUUUUGGUUUUGUUGGGACUAACGUAUUAACAUUUUUCUUUGUGUUCCAUCUAAUUUCAGGUUUCGUCAUGAGAAACUAAAGUAGGGAAUCCUCUGUGGAUCCUGAAUAUAAUGUAGAUGAAGCUGAGUCUUGGUCAACUAGACCAGAGAGAGAAGAACACAUUUACGAAAGCUUCAGGAUAGAAAUAGAACGCUCGAUAGCUGAAAUCGCUAGAGGAAAGAGAGCGAUGUCGAGUAGAUAUGAGUUGAUUGAUGAGGACAUCGAAACUGAGUAUGAGCCAGAGUCAUGGCGCAAGGAGACAAAGCUGUUGAACAAACCUGACGAGGUUACAGUGGAGGAGUAUAUCAGAUUCUUUGAGCUGAACGAUUUUUGGGGAAUGAGCUAUCCCUGCUAUGAGAAUUUAGCCCAGCUGGGGUUACUUGAGGACGUGCAGCAUCUGUUCGUGAAGUGUCAUCUGGAGACACUCAUGUCUUACCCAUACGCUGCCUACAAGGAGGAGACGAUCAAGUUUCUCUCCACAAUGCAAGUGGAGAUGUAUCAGGGUCUCACAGAAUUUGAGCUAGACACCAUGAGAUUGGGAUUCUUGACAUUUUCAGUGGAUGAGCAGCGCUAUCAGUUGUCGAUCAAGAAGUUGAAAGAACUGUUUGGUUUCCAUAGUGGAAAGGGAACCAAGCCCAAGUUUGACAGGGAGACUUUAAGGAUUUGUGGGCUACUAUUGGGAACAAUGUACCGCUAAACUCUGCCCGGUCCAAGAGCAACCAAAUCUGGAGUCCAUUGAUUCGCUACUUUCAGUGCUAAGUAGCCAAUGUUCUUUACUCCAGGGAGUCUACAGACAUCGUGUCUAACACAGACAUGGAUGUGAUAGAUUCCGCACUUACAAGCAUUCUCCACCGUACAAAGGGAAAGAAGGUCCUGAGAGGUGAUCUCAAUGACGCGCCACCAGUAAUGCUUCUGUUGAUCCACCUGUGUGGAUACAGGAAAUGGGCGUUGACAAACUGCAAGAAGAAAGUGAGAGGAACACUAUGCGUAGGUGGCGUUGUGACGCCGAUUCUCGAAGCUUGUGGAGUACCGCUCAAGAAACAGGGGUUAGAGCCGAGAAUGAUAGAUUUGGAUCAUUUACGCCGAUGUGAGUUCUUGGAGCAUGACAUGGUUGGCAACUUCCACAGCUACAGGUUCAAGCAUUCAUCGAUCAGAAUCGCCAACAUUUUUCUCCCCUACAUUGACGCUACCAGGAUUCUCGAGGGCAGGAAUAUUGACUUCUAGCCUACGCUUGAAGAUCUUUAUUUCAAGGGCAGUCCGCCAACUGAGGAGAUCAGUCACACGGAAGGAGCUACAAUAGAAGAAGUUGAUGAGACAGAUGAAAUAGAUGAAGCGGAGUUUGACACGAGCAUGUCUCAUUUCAGUGAGCAUGUACCUCCAGCGAGGGAAAGCAAGAGUUUGAGUGAAGCUCACAGGAACAACAACAAGUUGCAGAAGUGGUGUAAGAAACAUGAUAAGUUACUUGCCAAGUGCCUCAAAGCUAUCAAGUUUCUGAAGGACAAGCUAAGCUGCUCCUCUACCACUACAGCUAUUCCGCAUGGACAGCUCCCUCAGGACAUGCCCUCGAGGAGAUAUGAUGCGCCUGAGACAAGUCGGCGCAGGCCUGAGCCUACUGAGCAAGAGAUUAUGCAUGUCCCUGCGAGGCAUUCAUCAUUCGAGCCUCGUGAAUUUGGGAGAAAGAGGAGGACCAAACUUACUCGAUCUAGCAGCAGGAACAGACGACUUCUGCAAUCUCGUAGUUUACGCGACCGCGGUAGAAGAAGAGAGGUCGAGUAUCCUCAAGCGGUGCUGGCCGCCACAGAGCUGAUGAGAUCGAGUACCCACAUGCUAGAGCUGAUACAGAACAGGGCGAUUCUUCUAUGGCCUCGGAGCAAUCACAUGCAACCAUUGACGACCAACUUCGUUCAUUCUUCGACUGAGGUAAGCGCCUCACUUCUCCAUUGUAUUAUAUCAUCUCUUGUGAUUUGUUCUUUAUUUUGUUUCUGUGAUUUGAUUUGUCCUGAGUACUCUCUUCCAAGUUUAGUCACACAGUGGACUGUGUGAUUUAAGUUUGGGGGAGGGCUCAGGAAGUGUGUGUUGCAUUCUUAUUCAUUUUGAUCACUCUUGUUAAUCCAAGUAACUGACUCUCGUUAUUAGAUCAGUUAACCCGAACCCAAACAUAAACUUUCUUUCAAGCCCUAUAUCACUUGUGAGUGUUUGUGAGGUUUUAUUCCGAUUUAGAUUGGUAGAAAGUGUUAGGUUUGUAACGACAGAGAUAGUGUCUCAUGUAGUUCUACAUCGCAUUUUCUGGACUAGAUAGGACUAGGUAAGCGCUUAUACUUUGGGUUGGGAUGUGUCUAAAAAAAAAAAAGGGUUGAUUCAUUGAUAAAAAAGGUAAAAGACUCUAGGUGAAGUAAGCUAAAGAAGCAGAAAAAGUCUAAUAAAUGUUUUGGGAUUUGUAAAGAAAAGAGUUCUUGUUAGCUAAUGAAGAAGGGCAAAAGCCCUUAAUUUUAAAUUUUAAAAACAGGAACCCUUAGUUGUUAAAGAAAUCCAAAUUCGCUAGAUGUAUCAGUGUUGAGAAAGCUUCUCCUAGAGUUAAGAGAAAAGAAAAGAAUGAUUAGAAAAAUGUCUUAAAAGAUUCAUGAAUGCAAAGAGUAGAGUUAAGUUCUUAUAUUGGGAUUGGAGAUGGGAUUACCAUUAGAGCUUCAUUUGUUAUACUCUGGGUAGAUGGGAUCUUAUCUCUGUAUGCAUAGCUUCGGACUUACCUUUAGCAUUCUACUAAAGCUUAAUCAUUUUUUAGAGAUCCCCUGUUACUGAAGCCUAUUCUGUAAGGGAUCAUCUUUGUCUCUUGACCUUUACCUUAACCAAAUGAGUUCAUUGAUGAUGCAUUGCUUGAUUCACGUUCUAGAACUAAUGAAUGUUAAAGAGAUUGGUAGAUUUGAAAACAUGUGUAGGUAGAGCAUAAGAGUCGGAUUGAUUGAUAACAAGGCAUGGCUAACGUUUUAAGUAGAAUUCGAUCAUAUCGCAGCUUAGAACUACCAACUUGAACAUUGAUUUCAUCUAAUUUAUCUGGUGCUUUGGCUCUGAGUCUCCGCUUUCAAACCUCACCUCCAGCUUGUUCUUAAUUGUUUGCUU